UACGUAGGGUGCAAGCGUUAAUCGGAAUUACUGGGCGUAAAGCGUGCGCAGGCGGUUGUGCAAGACAGAUGUGAAAUCCCCGGGCUUAACCUGGGAAUUGCAUUUGUGACUGUACGGCUAGAGUGUGUCAGAGGGGGGUAGAAUUCCACGUGUAGCAGUGAAAUGCGUAGAGAUGUGGAGGAAUACCGAUGGCGAAGGCAGCCCCCUGGGAUAACACUGACGCUCAUGCACGAAAGCGUGGGUAGCAAACAGG
rnacentral:rRNA from 1 species